UACGUAGGGUGCGAGCGUUAAUCGGAAUUACUGGGCGUAAAGCGUGCGCAGGCGGUUCGUUGUGUCGGCGGUGAAAGCCCCGGGCUUAACCUGGGAAUGGCCGUUGAAACUGGCGAACUGGAGUGUGGUAGAGGGGGGUGGAAUUCCGCGUGUAGCAGUGAAAUGCGUAGAGAUGCGGAGGAACACCGAUGGCGAAGGCAGCCCCCCUGGGCUAACACUGACGCUCAGGCACGAAAGCGUGGGGAGCAAACAGG
rnacentral:rRNA from 1 species